GACGAACGCUGGCGGCGUGCCUAACACAUGCAAGUCGAACGGAAAGGCCCUGCUUUUGUGGGGUGCUCGAGUGGCGAACGGGUGAGUAACACGUGAGUAACCUGCCCUUGACUUUGGGAUAACUUCAGGAAACUGGGGCUAAUACCGGAUAGGAGCUCCUGCUGCAUGGUGGGUGUUGGAAAGUUUCGGCGGUUGGGGAUGGACUCGCGGCUUAUCAGCUUGUUGGUGGGGUAGUGGCUUACCAAGGCUUUGACGGGUAGCCGGCCUGAGAGGGUGACCGGCCACAUUGGGACUGAGAUACGGCCCAGACUCCUACGGGAGGCAGCAGUGGGGAAUAUUGCACAAUGGGCGGAAGCCUGAUGCAGCAACGCCGCGUGCGGGAUGACGGCCUUCGGGUUGUAAACCGCUUUCGCCUGUGACGAAGCGUGAGUGACGGUAAUGGGUAAAGAAGCACCGGCUAACUACGUG
rnacentral:rRNA from 1 species